AGCGAACGCUGGCGGCAGGCCUAACGCAUGCAAGUCGAACGGCAGCACAGGAGAGCUUGCUCUCUGGGUGGCGAGUGGCGGACGGGUGAGGAAUACAUCGGAAUCUACUUUUUCGUGGGGGAUAACGUAGGGAAACUUACGCUAAUACCGCAUACGACCUACGGGUGAAAGCAGGGGAUCUUCGGACCUUGCGCGAUUGAAUGAGCCGAUGUCGGAUUAGCUAGUUGGCGGGGUAAAGGCCCACCAAGGCGACGAUCCGUAGCUGGUCUGAGAGGAUGAUCAGCCACACUGGAACUGAGACACGGUCCAGACUCCUACGGGAGGCAGCAGUGGGGAAUAUUGGACAAUGGGCGCAAGCCUGAUCCAGCCAUACCGCGUGGGUGAAGAAGGCCUUCGGGUUGUAAAGCCCUUUUGUUGGGAAAGAAAUCCAGCUGGUUAAUACCCGGUUGGGAUGACGGUACCCAAAGAAUAAGCACCGGCUAACUUCGUGCCAGCCGCCGCCGUAA
rnacentral:rRNA from 1 species